rnacentral:rRNA from 1 species
AUUGAACGCUGGCGGCAUGCUUUACACAUGCAAGUCGAACGGCAGCGAGGAGAAGCUUGCUUCUCUGUCGGCGAGUGGCGAACGGGUGAGUAUAGCAUAGGAACGUGCCAAGUAGUGGGGGAUAACCAAACGAAAGUUUGGCUAAUACCGCGUAAGCUCUAAGGAGGAAAGUAGGGGACCUAAAUAAGGCCUUACGCUAUUUGAUCGGCCGAUGUCGGAUUAGCUAGUUGGUGGGGUAAUGGCUCACCAAGGCAAUGAUCCGUAGCGGGUCUGAGAGGACGAUCCGCCACACUGGGACUGAGACACGGCCCAGACUCCUACGGGAGGCAGCAGUGGGGAAUUUUGGACAAUGGGGGAAACCCUGAUCCAGCCAUGCCGCGUGUAUGAAGAAGGCCUUAGGGUUGUAAAGUACUUUUGUUAGGGAAGAAAAGCUAGUUUUUAAUAAAAAUUAGUGAUGACGGUACCUAAAGAAUAAGCACCGGCUAACUACGUG